rnacentral:lncRNA from 1 species
UGUUCCAAAAUUAUGCCUGUUAUAUUGUCAUCAAUAGAACAAAAUUUCAACUUGGUGGUUUACAUGGAUGAUAUAGUCAUAAUAGGGAAUGAACAAUAGAAAAUUUAUUAGUUGAAAGAACAUUUAUGUAGCCAUUUUCAAACCAAGGACUUGGAGAAACUAAAAUAUAUUCUUGGGGUUGAACUUGAUCAUUUAAAUGAUGAGAUUAUCAUCUUACAUAAGUAGUAUGCCUUAGAUAAACUUAAAGAAACUAGUAUGUUGUACAAUAAACUGAUUGGAAGUACAAUGGAUCCAAAUGUAAAAUCACUUCAUAGUCAGGGGUGCCUUAUUCUAAUCUAUAAAGAUAUCAAAUAUUAGUUAUAAAACUCAUUUAUCUCAUUAUAACAAGAACAUAUAUUUCCUUUGCGGAUGGCAUAGUAAGUCAAUUCAUGCAAUGUAUGCACAAUCAUCAUUGGCAUGUAGUGAACAAAAUUUUGAAUUACAUUUAAAGGGAACCACAACAAGGGCUACUUUAUGAAGACAAAUCAUACAUUAAAAUAGUUAGAUUUUGGUAUGCAUAUUAGACAGGUUCCCCUAUUGAUAGGUGUCUCACUUCAGGAUAUUGUGUUUCUAUUGGUGAAAAUAUUGUCUCUUGAAAGAGAAAGAAGAAAAUAUGGUUGCAAGGUCUGGUGCAAAGGCUGAAUAUAGAGCUUUGGCUACAACCACUUGUAAACUUAUCUGUAUUAAACAACUUCUUCAAGACUUGAAGUUUGGAGACACUUAAUUGAUGAAACUAUGUUAUGAUAACUAGAGAGAUCUACAUAUAGCUUCCAAUCCGGUAUUCCAUGAGAGAACUAAACAAAUUGAAAUUGAUUGUCAUUUUUUAUCAUGAGAAAGUUAUUUCUAAAGAAUUCAUCACUAAAUAUUUAACCUCAAAUGACCAACUAGCAGGCGCCUUCACAAAAUAUCUAAGGGGACUAAGAACUCAAUACAUUUGUUCAAAACUUAGAGCAUUUGAAUUAUAUUAUCUAGCUUGAGGGAGAGUGUUGAAAUUAAUAGCAAUUAUGAAAUGAUGGAAUUAGUAUAAAUUAUUAGUAUGAAAAGUUGUUGUAAUCUAGUUAGUCUUGAAUUUAGGAAAUAACAUUCAUGCACCUAGGAAAUAACAUUGUUAUUAUAAUAAAUUAUAUUUAUUUCUAGUAGUAUAUAAAAAUGAUGGAUCAACUAAGUUUAAAUCACUCAAUCAUUUCACAAAUCUCUUAAUCCUCUACCAAAGUCUCUGAUCAUGGUAUCGCAAGCCUAUCAACACGAGUCACCUACAUAUAUAUCCACAUAUUAAGCCCAAUAAUGAUGAGAGUGAAGGGGUGUAUUGGGGAAAACCCAAGUCUUGCAUUGGUUAAACUUAUAACCUACAAAAUGUUUAUAUAAAUUGUUACCCAUCACCUUACAAGUAGGUUUUAUAUGGAUGAUUUAGGUCAAACUCUCAUUCUAUCACCCCAAAAGUUGGAGACUUACGACAUGACUAGGGGUCCUAAUGAGCACGACAUCAUAUAGACAUUUUAAUUGAUCAUCACCAACCCAAGAGUGUAGUGAAAUGCAAAAAAAAAAUUGCACUGACCUUUAAGGGGGUAACCACGACAUUGUUCGAAUCCAUAGAAAACAACUCCAUCAACCUCUAGUGGAAAUAUUGUGAUGAAAUCACUUCUUAGUUUACAAAACAAAUACGUGUGCCAAAGAUAACAAUCGUUCUUAGUGGUAUUCAUUAGAGGAAGAAGGAGACAUUAAGAGAGUACAUCGAUAGAUUCACUAAAAGGACAGUUGAAGUAAGAAAAGCUAAUACCAAGUUAAAAUCUGGAAUGUAUUGAACUAGACUGCAUGUUUAGGUAAAAGUCGAGGUUGGAGGAACCAAAGAACAUGAUUGACCUCCUUACUCAAGCUCAACCAUACAUCAACUAUAAAGAGAAAAUUCUAGUUGAAGAUGUCAAGAAGAUAUUCCAUGAUGGGCAUCUUCAGAUUAUCAUUUAUUUCCGUUUCCAUUAUGGAAUAAAACUCCAUCUGUGGGAUUCGUCUUCUAAUUCUCACAAUUUAUCCAUUGAAUUCUUAUGAUCUUCUCUAUUGCACCGCUGCAACUAUUUCUGUUAAGUGCUUUGAUCGUUGUAACCGCCUCAAACACGUUGUUCAUAUUGUCUUUUCUGAUUAUUAGUCUGAAAUGAAUCGUAAUCACAACACCAUUCUUAUUCUUGAUAUCCAUUCAACGAUUCAAACUCUGAAACAUAAUACGUACCCUAUUCUCACUCUUGUGACAAACGAAACUGGUGGAACAUGAAAAUCUCAAGCUUCGAUCGUAAUGCCUAAACAUAAUGUUUAAGAAUCUCAAUAGAACUCUGCAUCCCAGUAUCAUCAUCUCUCUUCUUCACUAGGAACUAAAUUGUCACAUGACAUUCAAUAAUUUCAAGCUUCAGAGUAGUUGAACUCAUGUUGAAUAUCUUUAGCCUAGUCCAAAAAUAGACGAUACUACAAAAAAUACAUCUUACUUCGGGCGAAAAGUAGAUUUUACAUCGGUUACACAUGAAAAGUAAUAAAGGGUGAUAUGAAAAAUUGCCACUUUGCCGCUCGAUUUCUGAAUAACCGAGGGGUAAAGUGGCAAAGGUCAUGGGUUCAAUUCCCAAUGAGAUCCUUUAAGUGAUUUUUAAAUGGAGAAAAAUCUUAUCCCUACAGUUUUAAAAUAUAAUCGACGUGUAAAACAAGUUUGAGUUUAUUAAUCUAAUUUGGAUUGCCUGUAUCAUUUAGCCAUAGCUAAAGAUAUAACUUUUCAAAUUGGUUUACAAAAUAAUGAUAUGAAAAAUUGUAUUUGAAGAAUAAAUUAAACUAAUUAAUUAUUUUUUACCAUUUUGCAAGUCAUCAUUCAUCUAUUGUUCAUUAAUGGUUAAAAUCUCUUCAAUGCUUCUACUUUUCGUUCAACUUUCUUCAAUGCUUGUUCAUUCAACAUGUAUAGAAGAAAGUUGAACGAAAACUAAACGCAUUGGAGAGAUUUUAAACAUCAAAUAACGUGUAAUGAAUGAUGAGUUGUAAAAUGCCUUAAAAACAUUUAUUAGUGUAAGAUCUUUUUUAAAUGGGACAUAAUUGUUCAUAUUAUUAUUUUCAAAAACAGUUUAAUAGAUUAUAUGUUCAAAGAGAGAUUAGUGAAACAAAUAACCAAUAUUAGAUAUAACAAAUUCAACUGUAUUUUCUAUCACAAUAAUGUCCUCUUGAAAUGUUCAGAGGAACAAGAUGAGAGUUGCUUAAAGAAUCACGAAAAACGUAAUCUUAGUCUCAAUCUCAUACUCAAAAUCAAUAACAACAAAUAAACCCUAAACAUAUAGAUUUUAAACAUUUUCUAAGUAUAACAACUAGAUAACAACAACAAUAACAUCAAUAAAUAAAAAAAAUAACAAUAACAUUAACAUUAUAUCAAUCCAAACAACAACUAACAUUAAACAACAACUAAAAAAAAAACUCUCAACAAAAAUACACCAACAUCAACAAUAAACAUAUAACAUCAAUCUCAAUAAAUCUAUAACAUAUUUAUUUAAACCAAAAACAAUAAUAUAUAAUAUCAAUCUCAGUUUAAACAACAACAAAAAGAUUAAACCUCUAACGAGUCUAAAAAAUAACAACAAGAUUGAACCCUCUAAGGUUCCAGGGCUCAAUAACAACAAUAAACAAAAACAAACAACAACAACAACAACAUUAAUGUAACAUGAAUAGUGAUGUUAGACAUACCAGAUCUGUGAAGAAGAAGAAGAAGAAGAAGAAGAAGAAAAAGAAAAAGUGAACAAGACCCCUAAACACAUAUGAUUUAUGUAUUUCCUUGCCUUUUCAAGAAUUAGAGGAUGAUUUGUCUGUAUGAUUCUCAUUGUUUAGAGCUCUUCAUUAGGGUUCUGUGGGGGUUGUUUUAUUUUAUGUUUUAUAGGUAAGUGAAACUAAACACUACAAGCUAAGCUACAUAUAUCAGAGUAAACAAUUUUACCUCGGUUUUUAAACAAAACCAAGGUGAAAAGUGGCUUUUUACCCCUUAAUUUUAUAAAAGAGCCGAGGUAAUAUAUUACUUGCAAAAAAAUGGUGAAUUGUAAAAAAUUAAAAAGUAACAUGUAUUAUUUUCUUUUUCAAUUUUUUAUCAUUCACCAUUUAAUUUUGUCUACUGUGAUAAUAAAAAAAGGACUUGUAUUGUGAAAC